AUGUCAGUCAUUGGCUCUCUUUAAUCAUGACUCUCCGGAGUGGGCCAAACCCAUGUGAAGGUAUAUUUAUGCUCUCAGAGAGACGGCCUGCAUGGGCUGGUGGACUGGGAGGCCAUCAAUGAAAGGAAACCCUGGCCUUCUUGAGCGGUCGUGCAGCUGGCUGCAGUGUCUGCCGAGGCACGGGGAUAUUUAUACAACUGCUGAGAUGUGACUUUGGGGCGGCCUGCAGCUGUCACCCCCACGCCGCCUGGCCCGUUUUAAAAAUAGCCACGACCCCCGCCGCAUCACGACAGGACACUCUGGCAGCCCUGCGAAGAUCGAGUCCGGACACCACUACCUGUUCUGCUGCUCGUUGCUCUCAUACAGGCUCCCAGACUACGAGGUGAGUUUGGGCGUGUACUCUGAGACUGGGCGGUCUUUCCAGGCUGUUAUGCUGAGAUGGGACCACGGAAGAAUUCCGCUAAAAACAGCAGACCCUGGGGAAGGUGUUUAGGACCCAGGGCAGCCCAGCGCAACAUCGCUAUGGAAACACAGAGUGAGGUCACGCCCCUUCCCACCUGGUACUCGGACUGCAUGACCCCAGUGCCCGAGGGGGC